CUAGUGGCGGACGGGUGAGUAACACGUGAGAAUUUACCUUUAGGAGGGGGAUAACAAUUGGAAACGAAUGCUAAUACCCCAUAUGCUUUUGAGUGAAAUGGAUUUAUCCGCCUAAAGAGAAGCUCGCGGCUGAUUAGCUUGUUGGUAAGGUAAGAGCUUACCAAGGCGACGAUCAGUAUCUGGUUUGAGAGGA
rnacentral:rRNA from 1 species